rnacentral:rRNA from 1 species
UACGUAGGGUGCGAGCGUUGUCCGGAAUUAUUGGGCGUAAAGCGCGCGCAGGCGGCUUUGUAAGUCUGGUGUUUAAUCUCGGGGCUCAACCCCGAUUCGCAUUGGAAACUGCAAGGCUUGAGUGCAGAAGAGGAAAGUGGAAUUCCACGUGUAGCGGUGAAAUGCGCAGAUAUCAGGAGGAACACCGGUGGCGAAGGCGGCUCUCUGGGACGGUACUGACGCUGAGACGCGAAAGCGUGGGGAGCGAACAGG